GACGAACGCUGGCGGCGUGCUUAACACAUGCAAGUCGAACGGGGUCAAUUAGCAAUAAUCCAUCUAGUGGCGGACGGGUGAGUAACGCGUGAGGAACCUGCCUUCAAGAGGGGGAUAACAUCGAGAAAUCGAUGCUAAUACCGCAUAAGACCACACUCCCGCAUGGGAGAGGGGUCAAAGCUAUUGCGCUUGAAGAUGGCCUCGCGUCCCAUUAGCUAGUAGGCGGGGUAAAGGCCCACCUAGGCAACGAUGGGUAGCCGAGCUGAGAGGCUGAACGGCCACACUGGGACUGAGACACGGCCCAGACUCCUACGGGAGGCAGCAGUGGGGAAUAUUGGGCAAUGGGCGAAAGCCUGACCCAGCAACGCCGCGUGGAGGAAGAAGGUUUUCGGAUUGUAAACUUCUGUCCUCAAGGACGAAAAAAAUGACGGUACUUGGGGAGGAAGCCCCGGCUAACUACGUGCCAGCAGCCGCAGUAACAC
rnacentral:rRNA from 1 species